rnacentral:rRNA from 14 species
UAAGACGGAAAGACCCCGUGCACCUUUACUAUAGCUUUACACUGAAUUUUGAAUAUUUUUGUGUAGGAUAGGUGGGAGGCUUUGAAGCGUGGACGCCAGUCUGCGUGGAGCCAACCUUGAAAUACCACCCUGAAGUGUUUGGAGUUCUAACCCAGGUCCGUUAUCCGGAUCGGGGACCGUGUAUGGUGGGUAGUUUGACUGGGGCGGUCUCCUCCUAAAGAGUAACGGAGGAGCGCAAAGGUAC